ensembl:snRNA U6 U6 spliceosomal RNA
AUGCUCACUUUGGCAACAUAUCUACUAGAGUUGGAAUGAUGCAGAGAUUACCAUGGCCAUUGCAGAAGGAUGACAUGAAAAUUUCAAUACUUUUAUUAAAAACUU